CUCGUAAGAGCAAAGCGGGGGGACCGUUCGGGCCUUGCGCUACCGGAUAUGCCCAGGUGGGAUUAGCUAGUUGGUGAGGUAAGGGCUCACCAAGGCGACGAUCCCUAGCUGGUCUGAGAGGAUGAUCAGCCACACUGGAACUGAGACACGGUCCAGACUCCUACGGGAGGCAGCAGUGGGGAAUAUUGCACAAUGGGCGCAAGCCUGAUGCAGCCAUGCCGCGUGUAUGAAGAAGGCCUUCGG
rnacentral:rRNA from 1 species